CACGUAGGGCGCAAGCGUUGUCCGGAAUUAUUGGGCGUAAAGAGCUCGUAGGCGGUCUGUUACGUCUGCUGUGAAAACCCUGGGCUUAACCCUGGGCUUGCAGUGGAUACGGGCAGACUAGAGGCAGGUAGGGGAGAAUGGAAUUCCCGGUGUAGCGGUGAAAUGCGCAGAUAUCAGGAGGAACACCAAUGGCGAAGGCAGCUCGCUGGGACGGUACUGACGCUGAGGCGCGAAAGCGUGGGGAGCAAACAGG
rnacentral:rRNA from 1 species